CAAAACCGAUAUUUUAUUGGUUGAUGAAAGAUAGAAUCACUAAGCAGGAGCUUAGAGGUGCACACAUCGUAGGACUAUGACAUAAAGAAAGAGUUGCAUAACAUAUACUCUACAACUAUACGUCGUAAUUAACUACAAAGGACGACAUUCGGCUAGCAAGAGAAAAGAGCGAGAAUGCUUGCACUCCCUCCGUUCAAUAGGCUCUUCCAUGUCAACUUUGUAUUUUACGGAAAAUGAAGGAACAAGUUCCGUUGAUGAAGUAGAGAAAUGCCACCAAAAGGAAAUAAAGUCCCUUUAUCCGUACAAAUUGGUUCCUUCAUCCUCUCACAGCUCGGUCAAUGAAUUACGCCUUUCAUUUAAGUAUACCUCACAUUUCCUGGACAGUCGGAUGCAAAUACCAAGGAAUUUGACUUGGAGUUAAACGGAAAAUAAAUGUCUCCUUUUCUGUUAGAGGUUAUUCGAUUCUUUGGUUGUGCUUGAACUACUAAAGCAUAGACUUGUCAUACUGAAAAACAAAAGAUGUCUUACAAUUUAAAAAGCAAAAAUAAAAUAAAUAGAUGUCUUAGAAUUUAUAACCCAAAAACCAAAAUAAAAAGAUGUCUUACAAUUUAAGAAUCCAAAAAUAUGUAAACUGGAAGCGUGAAUUGAUGCUUGUAUGCUGGAGGCGCACCUUCCUUCGACACAUUAUACAUGCAAAU
rnacentral:lncRNA from 1 species